UUUUGGGAACACCCUCACAGAUACACCCAGGAACAAUACUUUGCAUCCUUCAAUCCAAUCCAGUUGACACUCGAUAUUAACCACCAGAACCCCCAAAUAAGCAUUUGCCUGUCCUUGCUAAAUCCUACCCUUUCCCUCUUGCCUUCCAGAUGCAUUUGUUUCUCUUUCUUUAAUUUCUCUGUGCUCUGUUCCUGGUAAAUCUCUUAAAUCAUCUCAAACUUCUCAAUUCUCUUCCCUCAUCCCACAGCUCCCAGUUUAUUUAUGAUAGUUGCAGACACAUAUGGAGAACAGUGUGCUGCCUCUCAGACCCAAGUCUAAAUUCACUGGAGAGAGAAUCUGUUUGACUCAACAUGGGACAGUUAUCCACCACUGUGCCUAGAACAGUAUCUGGUACAAAUUAGACACUCAAAAACUUUUGAUACGUGAGUGGAUGGAUGAGUCUUCUGUGAGCUUGGCACUGUGGUAUGUGCUGGGAUAUUAUGAAUAAAAUGACAGGAAUUUUGCCUUCAAGGAGCUUGCAAUAUAACAAGGAGCAUAGAACCACCAAUGGGAACUCCUGCUUUGAGCUCUCCUGAAGCCUGGAUUCUUUACAGAGAUCUUGAUGAUUCAGUCUGGAGACAGAGCGUGAUCAGAUCCUUUUGUGACUAAUGACACUGGGAACUUGCUCAUGGGAUGCCAGUCGGACCCCUAAUGAUUCCUGCCCUUUCUUUCUCUUGAGGCAUUGUAUCCAUUGCCUUUGAAUAAAAACUGUACAUGACUA